CCUAUUCCGGUUUUGCAAUAGAAUGACAAUUGAUCAUCCUUCAUUGUCGUGAUUUUGUCAUUGUCGUUGCACGUUGCUAUUCCUAACAAAAAAUGACAUGGUGAAAAGUUCAUUGUUGUAGAAACAGCUGGUCAACGCUAUUAUUUGCAAAAAAUAUGAGCGGUGAAACACCAGAAAAACGUGCAAAAUAUGAGCGGACGACGCAGGAGCAGCUGCAAUUUUAUGUGCAGUUUUGUAGGGAGCAUCCGGAGCUGC